CCUCCGCCACCCGCUUUGCCCGGCGUCCGCCGGCGCUUCGACCGAUGCCCCUAUCACGUGGCGCCGCUUUUUUCCUCCAGUAGUAUGCUCGCCGCCCUCCUCGUCUAUAUCUCCAGCCACUCCCUUUUUCCUCUACGUGCGUUGUCCUCCUUCUGCCACUGCUUCAGAAAUAUAUUUUUUCCCAUCUAUAUCUCUUAAUACUCAGAACUGAGGUGUUCCAUUGACUUGCUUCAAAUCUCGGCCAACCCUCGCACCGCCACUGCCACUCCGUUCGGGGUCGGCGCCGUAGCUCCAAUUUUUUCUUCCAACACUUUUUCUCCUCAAGAACCUUUUAAAGUCAAUUUUUCUUCCAGAGCUGCCAUCGGAGCGAGGUCAGUUUGAUUAGCAUCUUUGUUUUUCAGUGGUUUAUUCAUCAGAAUUCUUCUUUGAUUUUCAGGUUCAGUGGAGGAUUUCCUGGCGGCGGCGGUGGAUGCUGGUAAGAGUGCUGGGAGGUAAUUCAUUAUGGGUUUUACGAGACGAAAAACGUGGAGCACAAACGCGAGGUAAAAUAUUAGCUUAUUUUGAUUUAUUGAUUUAUGUAUAAUAUCAUUUCAUAUUCCUAGGUUUAAACAUUUUGUGUAACCCUUCAAUUUAUGAACAAGGGGUAUAUCUUUAGUAAUCUGUAAUAGAUUUGUUUACUGUUACAUAAAUCGUAAUUAAUUGGUAUCUGUUUCGUAAAUCGUAUUACUCUAAAAACUGUUGGGACUGUGCUAUUUAUGCUCACUGUUAAGCACAGCUUUCCGAUUGUCGACUUCGGUAAUGCUUCGAUUGCUUCUUCGGGUUUCGGAAAUUUGUUCUGAUGAAUGAUGAUGUUAGGAGUUUAUAUAUUGGGACGCGUUUGUUUGUUUUUAAUUUUUUUAUAUGCUGAUGUGUGUCGAUCGUUCCGUGUAGGUACAUUUGGUCACAGAGACUGACAAGAAAUGCGAAGAACUCAUUUUCAAUUUUCUCAAACUACAGUUUUGGAUUUCUUGGUAACGUUUUUUUUUCCAGUUGGAUGCUCGCUAUAGUGAACUCCGUAUCUUGACGUUAGUCUUUUGUUUCAUGUUAGUUCGUUGGGGAAGAAACUACUGCUGCUUUUGGCACCACAGAAUUGACCGAUGAACCGACUUGGAUUGUCGAUCCGCUAUAUGGAACCACUAAUUUUGUUCACGGGUUCGUAUCUUUAUUAUUAGUAGUAUCUUGUAUUUAAUCGAAUUGCCUACUGCCUCUGAUGUAUUUCCACUUAUGUUCUAUUGUGAGCAUUUAUUUUAUUUUUCUCAUGCUACAGCAAGUAAGGUUUCUAUUUCCCUGAUUUUCCUGAUAUUUGCAAGGUUGCUGCCGAGACAUUCCUAGAUAUCCUCCAUCGUAUGAGUCGAUCUUAUUUAUUAUCUUUUGAUUCUUUACUGAUGAAUACUAUUGGUUCAUUUUUAUUAUCUCCUUCUUACAGUUUGUCCGUGUUAUUAUACGCCUCUGUCUUUUCUUUUCUUUUCCCUUCUUUUCACGAGGUGUAUGAUCGACCUCUUUGCUUCUUCUUUUCUCUUUUCUUUUAUUCUCGAUUUUAUUUUUCUUCUCUUGCUUCUUUGUCCUCACUCGUCGCCCACAAUUGCUGAAUCGCCGUUGAAUAUUUAUCGAUUUUGCUUACAAUUUUGGUUCUUCUCUGUGGGUGCCAGUUCCCGGGUCUGAAUUGGAUUUCCUACAAUCUUUAACGAAUCAUUGAAGCGCGAUGUCUAUCCGUUCUUGUUUUGUUUGAUUAAAACGCAUGGCUUCGGAAAGGUUUAUGUCCAGUAUGAAGGAGGUUGGAGAGUUGCAUCUCUUCUCUCACAUCCUGUUUAUUAGACUAUGUCUGUUCUUUGUUUGUUACUCAAGUCUGAUGUAAGUCAAAUUGUACUUUUAUGCUUGCAUUUUACCUUCCAAGAUACCUAAUUGAUCUGAAAUUUGAAAUUAUAUUUUCGUGUGUUUUGGUAUAUGAUUUUAAAAGAAAAUUCACUCCGACAUCUCAAUCACGAUUCUGUGUGAAGCAACUAAUUAAGGAACCGGAUGUUACUAUAUAAAACCUUUAGCCACCUUCAUUAAUUAUUUACAAAUGGCAUUUCAUGUUUUCGCUUUAUGAUUGUUUAAAAGAACAAUAGAUUGCGACAUUUAAUUUGUUAUUAGCACCAACCGUUGUCUUGAAAAAUUCCAUUAGUUUUCCUAUCUUGUUAGUUUCUGAUCUUGGUUUAUGCACCAUUUAUCUUACUCUAUAGCUACAACUUAUUUAUGAUUCUUUCUUCUCAAUCAGUUUAUGUGGAUCCAUCACCGGAGAAGAAGAGGGUGUACAGCGUAUAAUCUUAUUCCUCUGUACAUAUAUGUUCAUUUCGACAUAUAUAUGUUAUACGUCCUCCUUUAAUUCUUUAAAAUAUUUUCACUCAUUAAUUGCAUAUCUCCUGCUCUUAUCUUCGCCAGCAAAACUUUAGCUACCGCUCAUUUUUCAUUAUUUUUUAGUUUAUGGAUUUACUGAUUUGUUUUGUUCCUUACUUUUUUUGGCGUUUAAUAAACUUAUCUAUUUUGUAUUUCGAAUUUUUGUACACCAUGGAUCGGUGCAAAAUCUGGAGAGGCCAAAGGUAGAUACACCAACUAAUGAGAAUGACUCUGCUUCAGAUAUUCGUUCCCCUAUAAGUGCUUCGUGCCAUGUUAUAUCACGGAAGGAAGAAAUCAUUUCGUUAUCACCAGGUUUUGUUUAUUACAAGAUAUCAGAAAAAACGAGUGAGUUUGAGUAUUUAAGAAUUUUUCUUGCUCAUUGAGUAAUUUUGAUUUUAUUUUUGUUUGUUUAGCGCAUAGUCUUGCUCGUUGGCAUAUGGUUCUAAAUAUGUACAUUUUUUUAUCCAAUAUCAUUUUUUAUAAAUGUAUAGGGAGUUGCAGAAUUAGUAAAUUUCUUUAUCCAAUACCAUAAUUUUCUGAAAUGUAUAGGGAGUUGCACAUUUUUUGUUUCCGUUAUGCUCUUUUAUUAUUUACAAUUUAUUCUUUGAAAUUGUAAUCGGUUAUUGUUUUUUGGCUGCGAAUCUGCCAAGAGGGUACAAGUUCUUCAAAAACUGGUAUUGUUGCUACUUUAUGAUGGUGUUUGUGCUACACCGCCAAUUGUUCAACUCGGCAAUAUUACUAGGUAAAGAGUUAUAAUUGUAUGUCUUUGCCGAAACAUCUCUAUUUUUGUGUACUCUUUUGUGGUUUUGAUGUUUUUGUUUGUGAAGUUUGGAAUUUCUUAUUAGUCACGAAGACGUGGAUGUUUGAAAGUUUGAAUAACAAAACAUUGUCGAUCCAUCACUUUUGUAAGGAACACUUUUGUUUGCUUCUCCUUUAUUCUGGACUCCGUUUGUACUAUCUACUUCUAUGGAACUUUUGAAAUUAUGUCAAAAAAUUCGACCAUGAUUCCCUCACGACAAUUUUUCAAACUUGGGGUUGCAUACAUACCUCUAUUUGGAUCCGAGGUACGUCGCUAAAAUUCAGCUUCAGACGGAUUAUUACAAGGAAUUUUGAAUUAUGUGAUCUUUGUUAUUUAUAUAUCUUACAAAUUCUCUUCUUUGACUCCAAACUCACACAACAAUUUCAUUUGUUACUAUUGUUUAAUAUUCUUUUCAUAUGCUGUAUAAAAAGUCGGAACUUCUUUGCUUAUGGCUUCCAAAGGUUGAGUCGUGGUACAGGUGACUCUCUUCUGUUUUCCUGUAAUUUUCUCUUUUUUGUGUUCAACCAAUCUAAUUUUAUUACUUUCUUCAUUCGCAACCAUUGUUUCCUUUCUUUUCUUUUUCUUCGUGUUUUCUAUAUUCAAUUACAGGUUAGCCCUUUUUUGGUGUUUCGGCUUCGGUUUGCUGUUGCUCUCUCUGUUCGUACACAGGUUUGCCGCUUGUUCAAGAAUUAUAUUGAUGUCUUCCAGUGAAGUUUACUUCUUAUAGCUGAUUUUAUUCGGCUGAGUGAGUUCGUCCACAUCUGUAGACGGCGCCACUCUGACGAGUAGCUUUGCGCUUUCGACUACUUCGUUUGACGUUGGACUUCUUUAUAUUACUUUGGUUUAUGCCUCUUAUAUUUGUAUUUUUUCCUUACGAUUUACUUCUUGUACAUUAUGCUUCAAAUUUUUUGCUCCCUCUCCACCACCUCCUUAUUUCCCGGCCUCCGUCGACUGGACACACGAGGCACACAUUCCGGCGGUUUUCGAUUUGUGUUCUCAUAUUUUCCCAUUUUCUCUGCACAUAUUGGUGCUUUAGGGAAGUGGAUGAAUCGCUGCUCGAUCUCAAAAGGCCUUCCCUAUUUCCUUUUAUGGUUGUAUCUUUUGUUCAGGAAAGCGGAUGAAAUCGCUAUUCGAUCGCAAAAAGCCCUCCCUCUUUUCUAUGAAUAUUUGUUUUCGUAGUUGGGGCUAUUAGGUCUAUAAUUUAAGCAACCUGUAUCGUAUAAUUGCAUUUUCAGAACUUUUGAAUGCAACAAAAUCAGGUGAGGAAUCACACGUUCACCUCAUAUUCA